rnacentral:rRNA from 1 species
GACGAACGCUGGCGGCGUGCCUAAUACAUGCAAGUCGAACGCAGUGGGGACGGGUGAGUAACACGUGGGUAACCUCCCAUCAGAGGGGAUAACACUUGGAAACAGGUGCUAAACCGAUACUGAUGGAUGGACCCGCGGUGCAUUAGCUAGUUGGUGAGGUAACGGCUCACAAAGGCCACGAUGCAUAGACGACCUGAGACGGUGAUCGGAAACACUGGAACUGAGACACGGCCCAGAUUCCUACGGGAGGCAGCAGUAGGGAAUACUCGGGAAGGGACGAAAGUCUGACCGAGCAACGCCGCGUGAGUGAAGAAGGUUUGCGGAUCGUAAAACUCGGUUGUCAGAGAAGCGGUAUCUAACCAGAAAGCCACGGCUAACUACGUGCCAGCCGCCGCGGUAAUAC